rfam:Corynebacterium freneyi DNF00450 contig04, whole genome shotgun sequence.
ACUCGGGCACGAUCCGGGCCCCGGCGUGACUCACGCUCCACGGCGAAUGAUACGUCGUAAAGCAGAAGUCCGCCCGCGCCGCCCGGAAGCGACCCGAAGUUCAAUCCUGAGGGA